rnacentral:lncRNA from 1 species
GGUUUAGUGUGGAAAGAACUAUGCAAAGCCACCCCAGCUACUGAGCCUGUGGACUCAGCAAUAAGACUUAAAAUUCCAGCAACGAUUCCUAACUUACGCUUUGUUCUUUUUUUAUCUCUCCAUGAGCUGUUAUUAAUCCACAUGGUUUAAAUACUUCUGGUAAAACUUGUAAAAGAUUUCUAGUUCUGCCAUGCUAAGUCCUGCAAAAAAAAAAAAAUCCAUAUAAUGAGAAAUAUAUAAAUGAGGAUUAUCUACAUAGAUCUGACACAUGGUAGGGGAAUUCAUUAUUCCUUGUAGGAGUACUUUCCAUUGAUAUCUUUAGUGUGGCCCCCCUAUUAUUUACAUAAGGUAUUGAAAAAGCAAAACCUUUCCUCUGAUUUCAAUGAACAGGAGUGAUUUAAAAAAAACAAAACAAAACAGUCUUGCCAAUCAAUUACAAUUUACAGGCCAAGAAGAAGGUAAUGUAGAUGGCUGAGGAGUCCUGGUUACAGGGUUCCCAUGGGAUACAUAGUAGAAUUAACUCCCCUUCAGUCUGUUAACAACCUCCAUUUCCCAGACUUCUUAUUCACAAAAAUAGGGGGGUUCCAUGGAGAUGUAGAUGGUUCAAUUUGCCCUUUUUGAAGUUGCUUCUCAACCACAGGUUGUGCGGCAUCCAAUUGCUGCUUUGUUCAGUCCAGAGGGGAUACGUUUUUCCCAUAGAAUUUGUAUAGACUACAUCUAUAGAGUAUUAAAUGUUAAAUGAGCACCCCGUUGCUCCAAGACAUCUCUUACAAAAAUACUAACAGGUACUUGUAAUAAGAAAGGUUUUAAAACAGCAGUUUGCCCAUCUUCAGUAAUCGAAGUAAUCGAAGACAUGAUCUAAACACUUUGUUUAAUAGAGAUUAGAGGCUGAGAACCAAUACCUUUUAUUUCACAAGGUAGUUGUUGUACAGGCCAACUUAAAGGCCAGUCUUUUUCUGUAAUUAUAGUAAUAUCAGACCCUGUAUCUAUCAGACCAAUAAAAGAUUUACUAUU